GCCCUGGUGGUGAAACUGGUAGACACGCUAUCUUGAGGGGGUAGUGCUCGAAAGGGCGUCGCGGUUCGAAUCCGCGCCAGGGCA
rnacentral:tRNA from 1 species